rnacentral:rRNA from 1 species
CCUACGGGUGGCAGCAGUGAGGAAUAUUGGUCAAUGGACGCGAGCCUGAACCAGCCAAGUCGCGUGAGGGAAGACGGUCCUAUGGAUUGUAAACCUCUUUUGUCGGGGAGCAAAAGACGCCACGCGUGGCGUUCCGAGAGUACCCGAAGAAAAAACAUCGGCUAACUCCGUGCACGCAGCCGCGGUAAUACGGGGGAUGCGAGCGUUAUCCGGUUUUAUUGGGGUUAAAGGGUGCGCAGGCGGAAGAUCAAGUCAGCGGUAAAAUUUGGGGGCUCAACCUCGUGGAGCCGUUGAAACUGGUUUUCUUGAGUGAGUGAGAAGUAUGCGGAAUGCGUGGUGUAGCGGUGAAAUGCAUAGAUAUCACGCAGAACUCCGAUUGCGAAGGCAGCAUACCGGCGCUCAAUUGACGCUGAGGCACGAAAGCGUGGGGAUCGAACAGGAUUAGAUACCCUAGUAGUC